CAAUUGCAGAAGGAGCAAGGAAGAAAAGCAACGGGAAGAAAAAAAAAAUUAUGCCGAAUUCCGUUAAAUCCUAGUUCAGAUACGAUACUGGAAUCGGGAAAAAGGGCUUUAAGAGUUAGGGUUAUUGACGUUUUUGGCGAAUUUCAAGUAAUCCUGAUUAUAUAUGACUUGAUGGUCAAACUGGAGUAGUCGUGGCGCUCUUGCAGGCAUUUUGAGUUACCAUGUACAUAGAUGACGACUUGUGGGCAAGACCGUGGCUUGUUUUGCUUCUGUUGUUCUAUAUUACGUCUAUUUUAGAAGUCGUAUGGUGUUGUUAUAUAUGUAAGUAAUUAAGAGGGAUUAUAACAUGUUUAUUGUUUACUUAUAUGAGAAUUGACGUUAGUAGUAUAGUGUAAGUGGGGUCGUGUCAGAGUGGUAUCAGAGCACGGUUAGCUUCUUGUAGACUGUCUAUGUACACGAGCUCAGAACUUGAGAGAGAGCCCCGCUAU